rnacentral:rRNA from 1 species
GAUGAACGCUGGCGGCGUGCCUAAUACAUGCAAGUCGAGCGAGCGGACGAGAAGCUUGCUUCUCUGAUGUUAGCGUCUUUCGGGUUAGUAACACGUUGAUUACCUCCCUAUUAGACUGGUUUAUCUUCGGGAAUCCGCAUCUAAUACCGCAUAUUAUUUUGAACCCCAUGGUUCAAACGUGAAUUACGGUCUUUCUGUCUCUUUUAGUUUUAUCCGCGCUGCAUUUGCUAUUUGGUAAGGUAACGGCUUACCAAGGCAACGAUGCAUAGCGGACAUGAGAGGGAGAUCGGACACACGGGAAGUGAGACAGGGUCGAGACACCGAGGGGAGGAAGCAGUAGGGAAUCUUACGCAAUGGGGGAAAGGAUGACGGAGCAAAGCCGGGUGAGUGAUGAAGGUGUUAGGAUCGGAAAACUAUGUUAUUAGGGAAGAAGAAAAGUGUAAGUAACUGUGAAGAUAAUGACGGUACCUAAUCAGAAAGCCACGGCUAACUACGUG